rnacentral:rRNA from 1 species
UACGUAGGGGGCAAGCGUUGUCCGGAAUCAUUGGGCGUAAAGCGCGUGUAGGCGGCUGAGUAAGUCUGCUCUGAAAGCCCGGGGCUCAACCCCGGGAGGCGGGUGGAUACUGCUCAGCUCGAGUCCGGAAGAGGAGUGUGGAGUUCCUGGUGUAGCGGUGGAAUGCGCAGAUAUCAGGAGGAACACCGGUGGCGAAGGCGGGUCUCUGGGCCAUUACUGACGCUGAGGAGCGAAAGCGUGGGGAGCGAACAGG